rnacentral:rRNA from 1 species
GACGAACGCUGGUGGCGUGCCUAAUACAUGCAAGUUGAGCGCUGAAGGUUGGUACUUGUACCGACUGGAUGAGCAGCGAACGGGUGAGUAACGCGUGGGGAAUCUGCCUUUGAGCGGGGGACAACAUUUGGAAACGAAUGCUAAUACCGCAUAAAAACUUUAAACACAAGUUUUAAGUUUGAAAGAUGCAAUUGCAUCACUCAAAGAUGAUCCCGCGUUGUAUUAGCUAGUUGGUGAGGUAAAGGCUCACCAAGGCGAUGAUACAUAGCCGACCUGAGAGGGUGAUCGGCCACAUUGGGACUGAGACACGGCCCAAACUCCUACGGGAGGCAGCAGUAGGGAAUCUUCGGCAAUGGACGAAAGUCUGACCGAGCAACGCCGCGUGAGUGAAGAAGGUUUUCGGAUCGUAAAACUCUGUUCGUAGAGAAGAACGUUGGUGAGAGUGGAAAGCUCAUCAAGUGACGGUAACUACCCAGAAAGGGACGGCUAACUACGUG